rnacentral:lncRNA from 1 species
UGUUCUUCCGUCUUCGACAUUUCGUUUGCCCAGUGGGAGAUAUCAUCGAGAAUUCGAGAUAGGGUUUGCUUACUGCUUCAGCCUUCAGUGCUUAUUGCUUAGGAGUUAGGAGAUAUCAUCGAGAACGAGAAGAAGAAGAUGAGAAUCGACUGCGACUCUAGGAUAUCAGUCUGUGAAUCGAGUUACGACCAGUCGACAUUCGAGCUCGAGUCUCAUCUCAUCUUCACCGGUUAACUUCACUACUUUUGUAAGUUUUGUAAGUCUCAUCUCAUUCUCAUGAUCUCAUCCCAGUACUCGACUACUUUCUGAGGCUUUUGUUGAGAUUUAAUUUCUGAUUUUCUGCAUCAAACUAUUUUAGGGUUAUAGACGGCGAUUUCCAGCUCGAUUCGAUUCCGGGCAAACGAAGUGUCAAAGACACUUCUGUCAUGUUCCAGUCUACUGAGCUCGAUUCAAUUUCAAUUUCAAAG